UGGUGGAGUGAUUUGUCUGGUUAAUUCCGUUAACGAACGAGACCUCGACCUGCUAAAUAGUUGAAGUUACUUCGGUAGCUUUGAACUUCUUAGAGGGACUAUCGGUUUCUAUCCGAAGGAAGAUCGAGGCAAUAACA
rnacentral:rRNA from 1 species